AAAGUAUAUAUCAAAUGUGCCGAGUGCUAUGAAGAAUAAAACAAAGGCAGAUAAAUGGCAGACAGGAAGAGGGGUAGGUGAGGAAGGGGUGAUCAGUGAAGGCUUCUAUGAUGAUAUAGCAGGUUUUGAAUUCAUUCUUGAUAUCAUGCAGGAUUGAGCUAAGCCAUCAUUAGGAUAAAACUUUUCAGACCUAUGUGAGAGCAAGUACAAAGGAUGUGAAGUAGAAGCUUGCUCUUGAUGUGCUCUCUGAAGAACAAAAAGUCUAGUGCGGGCAGGAAGCAAAGAGAGUGAAAGAGUUUAUCUGAGUGAUAUGGGAAGCCAUUUACAAGGUUUAGUGCCCUGGUGUCUGCAAAAUCUGUGGUAUGUAGCAGAGAGCUCCAGACAUGUAGACAACUGUCCUCAGGAUUGAAGACUGCCACCAUGUCCUGCCUGCCUACACUGCACACAGCAAGGUGGACUCUAGAACCUUGAUUCAGAUGUGUAAGCUCCCCCAUCCAUUAAACUACUGAUGUCUGUG
ensembl:lncRNA